UGGUGGAGUGAUUUGUCUGGUUAAUUCCGUUAACGAACGAGACCUUAGCCUGCAAACUAGUCGCGGCGAUCUCGAUCGUCGUCGACUUCUUAGAGGGACUUUGUGGCACUAAACACAAGGAAGUUUGAGGCAAUAACA
rnacentral:rRNA from 1 species